rnacentral:rRNA from 1 species
CCUACGGGUGGCAGCAGUGGGGAAUAUUGGACAAUGGGGGGAACCCUGAUCCAGCCAUGCCGCGUGUGUGAAGAAGGCCCUCGGGUUGUAAAGCACUUUCAGUGAGGAAGAACGCCUGGUGGUUAAUACCCAUCAGGAAAGACAUCACUCACAGAAGAAGCACCGGCUAACUCCGUGCCAGCAGCCGCGGUAAUACGGAGGGUGCGAGCGUUAAUCGGAAUUACUGGGCGUAAAGCGCGCGUAGGUGGCUUGAUAAGCCGGUUGUGAAAGCCCCGGGCUCAACCUGGGAACGGCAUCCGGAACUGUCAAGCUAGAGUGCAGGAGAGGAAGGUAGCAUUCCCGGUGUAGCGGUGAAAUGCGUAGAGAUCGGGAGGAAUACCAGUGGCGAAGGCGGCCUUCUGGACUGACACUGACACUGAGGUGCGAAAGCGUGGGUAGCAAACAGGAUUAGAUACCCGGGUAGUC